UACGCGAAGUUGCAGCUAUGGCGAACUUUUAAUCUAAACAAAACCCAAAGUCUAAACGACGCCCUAAGGGCUGUAUAUAUGGAGGAAGAGGGGGGAAUUUCGUGGCCCUUGAGGGAGGGGUCCCAAACCAACUCUAACUCUUGUUUCCCCACACAUACAGACUCUAAAAACAGCCUAUACUUAAGUAUUUCAAAAUUACAUGGGCCUGGCCCAUUAAUAAGGUGAUGCAGCACCUAUAAUAGCCUCUGGACGAAAUUUAUGAAGUGGCAUCUUGUAUAUUUUGUCCAAGGCUUCACGCACUCAUUAUGGUGGCUUCAAUGUCCUGAAAUCAUCACUCCUAACUCCGUUGUUGUUCCCCUUGCGCAUGCCAUCAUCUCCAUGCUUGAUCUUGCCCCAAUGAUCAUCCUUCUUGUCCAAGCUAGACCCUUCAUUUGUAAGCAAGGCAAAUGUAUCCAAUUUAGGCAGGAUCAUAUUCUCAUGAACAUUAGAAUCAUUACCAAGAAACGGAAGUACCUGGUAAUUUAAUUGGCGUGCGCGAGCUCUAGUAAUAGAUCCUGUAUAUAUAUAUCAGUAGGGACUGUGGGUAUACCUUUGUUAGUGAUGUCCUCAUCAUCCUCCCCUUCUUGAAUUGAAGUCGCCCUCGAUGGAAGGUCAUCUUCCUCACCCAAGUAAGGCUUCAAAUCUGCAAUGUUAAAAGUGGGACUAACCCAAAAACCUGCAGGCAACUCAAGUUUAUAUGCAUUAUCAUUUAUUUUUUAUAACACCUUAAAAGGACCAUCAGCAUGUGGCAUGAGCAUUGACUUGCACAAAUUAGGAAACCUAUCCUUACGCAAAUGUAACCAAACAAGAUCUCAAGGUGCAAAGACAACAUGUUUUCUACCCUUAUCUCCAACAAGUUUAUAUUUAGCAUUCAUGCGCUCAAUAUUUUCCUUAGUUAACUCAUGCAUCUUUAAGAUCAAUUCAGCAUGUUGUUUAGCAUCAAAAUUAACCUUCUCCGAAGAUGGAAGAGGCAACAAAUCAAUAGGUGCACGAGGUAGGAAACCAUACACAAUUUCAAAAGGGCACAUCUUAGUAGUAGAAUGCAGCGACCGAUUAUAAGCAAAUUCAAUAUGAGGCAAGCAUUCUUCCCACAUUUUCUUGUUAUUCUUCAAAACAGCCCUAAGCAUGGUAGACAAUGUUCUAUUGACUACUUCAGUUUGUCCAUCUGUUUGGGGAUGACAUGUAGUACUAAAAAGCAGUUUAGUCCCCAACUUAGCCCAUAAACAUCUCCAAAAGUGUCUAAGAAAUUUAGUAUCACGAUAUGAAACAAUAGUAUUUGGCACACCAUGUAAGCGAAUAAUUUCACGAAAGAACAAAUCAGCAACAUUAACAGCAACAUCGCUUUUAUGGCAUGGUAUAAAGUGUGCCAUUUUCGACAACCUAUCCAUGGCAACAAAUAUGCUAUCCCUCCCCUUCUUUGUUCGAUGUAAACCUAAAACAAAGUCCAUAGAUAUAUCCUCCCAAGGAACACUAGGUACAGGUAAAGGCAUAUACAAACCAUGAGGAUUGAGUCGUGACUUAGCUUUUUGACAUGUAAUGCAGCGGGCAACAAAAUGCUCAACAUCCUGUCUCAUCUUUGGCCAAAAAGAAAUGUGUAGCAAGUAUAUCUUCCGUCUUCUUCACGCCAAAGUGUCCCAUUAAUCCUCCUCCAUGCGCCUCUUGCAACAACAAAAGAUGAAUGGAGCUAGCUGGAAUGCAUAGCUUGUUAGCAUGAAACACAAAUCCAUCGUUAAUGACGAACUUGUUCCAAGUUCUCCCUUCCUUACAAUUCUGCAAGACAUCUUUAAAUUCAGCAUCAUGCACAUAUUGAUCUUUGAUGGUCUCCAAACCAAAUAUUUUAAAGUCAAGUUGUGAAAGCAUAGUAUAACGACGAGACAAUGCAUUAGCAAUAACAUUUUCUUUACCCUUCUUGUGUUUAAUGACAUAAGGGAAAGUCUCAAUGAAUUCAACCCAUUUAGCAUGUCUACGGUUCAGUUUUGCUUCACUUUUAAUGUGUUUCAAAGAUUCAUGAUCAGAAUGUAUAACAAAUUCCUUGGGCCAAAAAUAAUGUUGCCAUGUUUCUAAGGUCCGAACAAGAGCAUAUAAUUCUUUAUCAUAGGUAGAAUAGUUCAGACUAGGCCCACUCAAUUUUUCAGAAAAGUAUGCAACAGGUUUGCCAUCUUGUAAUAACACACAUCCUAAUCCAAUUCCACUAGCAUCACAUUAAAGCUCAAAAGUCUUAUUAAAAUCAGGAAGUUGGAGUAAAGGAGCAUGUGUCAACUUAUCUUUCAAUACCGUGAAGGCUUGUUCCUGUGCGGUACCCCAAACAAAAGGCACAUAUUCUUUGUAAGCUCGUUGAGAGAUGCCGCAAUGGUGCUGAAAUCUCUCACAAAAUGCCUAUAGAAACCAGCGAGGCCAAGGAAACUCCUCACUCGUGUGACCGUUUUGGGCUGCGGCCAACUCUCAAUAGCUUCAAUCUUGACUUUAUCAACUUCAAUUCCCUGUGGAGUAACAACAUAGCCAAGAAAAGAUACUCGUUCAGUGCAAAAGGUGCACUUCCCAAGGUUACCAAACAAACGUGCAUCACGUAGAGUAAUAAAAACAGCACGUAAAUGUUCCAAAUGUUCUUCCAAAGAUUUGCUAUAAAUCAGUAUAUCAUCAAAAUAGACAACCACAAAUCGUCCAAUGAAAGCACGUAAAACUUCGUUCAUUAGUCUCAUGAAAGUACUAGGCGCAUUAGUUAACCCAAAAGGCAUGACUAACCACUCAUAUAAACCAAACUUAGUUUUAAAUGCUGGUUUCCAUUCAUCUCCCAAUUUCAUACGAAUUUGAUGGUAUCCACUACGCAAAUCAACUUUGGAGAAUAGUGUAGAGCCACUCAAUUCAUCAAGCAUAUCGUCUAGCCUAGGAAUAGGAUGACGAUAACGAAUAGUAAUAUUAUUAAUGCCUCUACAAUCAACACACAUAUGCGACGUACCAUCCUUUUUAGGCACUAGUAUAAUAGGAACAACACAAGGACUAAGAGAUUCACGUAUAUAACCUUUGUCGAGCAGCUCCUGUACUUGACGCAUAAUCUCCUUCGUCUCCUCUGGAUUGAUACGUUAUGGUGCACGGUUGGGUAGCGAUGCACCGGGAAUUAAGUCAAUUUGAUGCUCAAUCCCUCGAAUAGGUGGUAAUCCCGUUGGCACGACUUGUGGAAAGACGUCAGCGAACUCCUGCAAAAUGUUAGUGACAGCAGGGGGCAAAGAGGAAGGCACAUCCUCGAAUGAAAAUAAUGCCUCUUUGCACACAAAAGCAUAGCAAACAGAUUUGCUAAAAUCUAGCUCAUCAAUAUAAGAUUUGGUGGCAAGUAAACAUGCACUUUUCAAUUUAAUUUCAGAAGCAACAGUAGAUAGUUUAUUAUUAGGCUUCAUUUAUUGCUCAAAUUCUUUUGCCACAAUCUGAUUUUCACUCUUAUUUUUCUCCUGUUUUGCUUUAUUAGCUCUAAUAAUAUCAUCUUUCAAAAUGGAAUCAGGAGUCAUAGGAAGCAAAGUAAUAUUUUUAUCGUUAUGAACAAGAGUAUACUGAUUGUUUCUACCAUGGUGUACAUAAUUUUUAUCAAAUUGCCAUGGUCUACCAAGUAAUAAGGAACAUGCUUGCAUAGGUACCACAUCACAAUCAACAUAAUCAGCAUAUGUAGAGAUACUAAAAUGCACACGAACAGUUCGUGUUACCUUAACCUUGCCGCUGUUGUUGAACCAUUGGAUGUAGUAAGGAUGUGGAUGUGGUCUUGUGGUGAGAGAUAGCUUCUCCACCAUCUCCAUGCUAGCCAAGUUGUUGCAACUCCCUCCAUCUAUGAUCACGCGAACAGAACAUUCCUUCACAACUCCCUUUGUAUGGAACAAAUUAUGCCUCUGAUUUUGCUCAACUUGUGUAACCCGCACACUCAAAACACGUUGAACAACUAAACAUUCAUACCUGUCAGCAUCUUCAGGAGCCAUGAAUUGCGUCUCAUGAUCAUAAUCGUCUCCAUCGUCUUCUUCAUGUGUAAUAAGAGUCAAAGUCUCCUCAUCAUAGUCACUAGCGGACUCAAACCCACCGUCCUCAGUAGCAAUCAUCACACGCUGAGAUUUGCAUUCUCUCACAAAAUGUCCUCUUGCCUUACAACAACAACAAAUAAUAUCACUUGUGUGCCCUAUUGAUGCCAUGGAAGAAGAAGAACUCUGUGCAGGCCCAAUAGGUGUGCUCUGAAGGAAAUAUGCCCUAGAGACAAUAAUAAAGUUAUUAUUUAUUUCCUUAUAUCAUGAUAAAUGUUUAUUAUUCAUGCUAGAAUUGUAUUAACCGGAAACAUGAUACAUGUGUGAAUACGUAGACAAAUAGAGUGUCACUAGUAUGCCUCUACUUGACUAGCUCGUUGAUAAAAGAUGGUUAUGUUUCCUAGCCACAGACAUGAGUUGUCAUUUGAUUAACGGGAUCACAUCAUUAGGAGAAUGAUGUGAUUGACUUGACCAAUUCCGUUACAUUAGCACUUGAUCAUUUAGAAUGUUGCUAUUGCUUUCUUCGUGGCUUAUACAUGUUCCUAUGACUAUGAGAUUAUGCAACUCCCGUUUACUGGAGGAACACUUUGUGUGCUACCAAAUUUCACAACGUAAUUGGGUGAUUAUAAAGGUGCUCUACAGGUGUCUCCGAAGGUACUUGUUGGGUUGGCGUAUUUUGAGAUUAGGAUUUGUCACUCCGAUUGUCAGAGAGGUAUCUCUGGGCCCACUCGGUAAUGCACAUCACUAUAAGCCUUGCAAGCAUUGUAACUAAUGAGUUAGUUGCGGGAUGAUGUAUUACGGAACGAGUAAAGAGACUUGCCGGUAACGAGAUUGAACUAGGUAUUAAGAUACCGACGAUCGAAUCUCGGGCAAGUAACAUAACAAUGACAAAAUGAACAAUGUAUGUUGUUAUGCGGUUUGACCAUUAAAGAUCUUCGUAGUAUAUGUGGGAGCCAAUAUGAGCAUCCAGGUUCCGCUAUUGGUUAUUGACCAGAGAUAUGUCUCGGUCAUGUCUUCAUAGUUCUCGAACCCGUAGGGUCCGCACGCUUAAUGUUCGAUGACGGUUAUAUUAUGAGUUUAUGUGUUUUGAUUUACCGAAGAUAGUUCGGAGUCACGGAUGUGAUCACGGACAUGACGAGGAGUCUCGAAAUGGUCGAGACAUAAAGAUUGAUAUAUUGGAAGCCUAUAUUUGGAUAUCGAAAGUGUUCCGGGUGAAAUCGGGAUUUUACCGGAGUACUGGAGGGUUACCGGAACCCCCGGGGGCUUAAUGGGCCUACAUGGGCCUUAGUGGAAAUAGAGGGCAGAAAGGGGAGUGUGGGGUGCGCCCCACCAAGGCCCAAACCGAAUUGGUUUAGGGCAAGGGGGGACGGCCCCCUCUUUCCUUCUCCUCCUCUCCCUUUCCUUCCCCCUCUCCUACUCCUACUAGGAAUAGGAGGAGUCCUACUCCCACCAGCAGUAGGACUCCCCCUUGGCACGCCUCUCCCUGGCCGGCCGCCUCCUCCCCUUGCUCCUUUAUAUACGGGGGCAGGGGGGCAUCCCAUAGACACAACAAUUGAUCAUUGAUCUCUUAGCCGUGUGCGGUGCCCCCCUCCAGCAUAAUCCACCUCGAUAAUAUCGUAGCGAUGCUUAGGCGAAUCCCUGUGUCGGUAGAACAUCAUCAUCAUCACCGCGCCGUCGUGCUGACAAAACUCACCCUCAAUAGUCGGCUGGAUCGGGGUUCGAGGGACGUCAUCGAGCUGAACGUGUGCUGAACUCGGAGGUGCCAUGCGUUUGGUACUUGGAUCGUCGGAUCGUGAAGACGUACGACUACAUCAACCGCGUUGUCAUAACGCUUCCGCUUACGGUCUACGAGGGUACGUGGACACACUCUCCACGCUUGUUGCUAUGCAUCACCAUGAUCUUGAGUGUGCGUAGGAAUUUUUUUGAAACUACUACGUUCCCCAACAGUGGCAUCCGAGCCUGGUUUUAUACGUUGAUGUUAUAUGCACGAGUAGAACACAUGUGAGUUGUGGGCGGUACAAGUCAUACUGCUUACCAGCAUUUCAUACUUUGGUUCGGCGGUAUUGUUGGAUGAAGCGGCCCGGACCUACAUUACGCGUACGCUUACGCGAGACUGGUUCUACCGAUGUGCUUUGCAUACAGGUGGCUGGCGGGUGUCAGUUUCUCCAACUUUAGUUGAACCGAGUGUUGCUACGCCCGGUCCUUGAGAAGGUUAAACCAACACUAACUUGACGAACUAUCGCUGUGGUUUUGAUGCGUAGGUAAGAACGGUUCUUGCUCAGCCCGUAACAGCCACGUAAAACUUGCAACAACAAAGUAGAGGACGUCUAACUUGUUUUUGCAGGGCAUGUUGUGAUGUGAUAUGGUCAAGGCAUGAUGCUAUAUUUUAUUGUAUGAGAUGAUCAUGUUUUGUAACCGAGAUACCGGCAACUGGCAGGAGCCAUAUGGUUGUCGCUUUAUUGUAUGCAAUGCAAUCGCCCUGUAAUGCUUUACUUUAUCACUAAGUGGUAGCGAUAGUCAUAGAAGCAUAACUUGGAGAGACGACAAUGAUGCUACGAUGGAGAUCAAGGUGUCGCGCCGGUGACGAUGGUGAUCAUGACGGUGCUUCGAAGAUGGAGAUCACAAGCACAAGAUGAUGAUGGCCAUAUCAUAUCACUUAUAUUGAUUGCAUGUGAUGUUUAUCUUUUAUGCAUCUUAUCUUGCUUUGAUUGACGGUAGCAUUAUAAGAUGAUCUCUCACUAAAUUAUCAAGAUAUAAGUGUUCUCCCUAAGUAUGCCCCAUUGCGAAAGUUCUUCGUGCUGAGACACCACGUGAUGAUAGGGUGUGAUAGGCUCUACGUUCAAAUACAACGGGUGCAAAACGGUUGCACAUGCGGAAUACUCAGGUUAAACUUGACGAGCCUAGCAUAUAACAGAUAUGGCCUCGGAACGUUGAGACCGAAAGGUCAAGCGUGAAUCAUAUAGUAGAUAUGAUCAACAUAGUGAUGUUCACCAUUGAAACUACUCCAUCUCACGUGAUGAUCGGACAUGGUUUAGUUGAUAUGGAUCACGUGAUCACUUAGAAGAUUAGAGGGAUGUCUAUCUAAGUGGGAGUUCUUAAGUAAUAUGAUUAAUUGAACUUUAAUUUGUCAUGAACUUAGUCCUAAUAGUAUUUGCAUAACUAUGUUGCAGAUCAGUAGCUCGCGAUGUUGCUCCUCGUUUAAUUUUGAUAUGUUCCUAGAGAAAAACUAUGUUGAAAAAUGUUAGUAGCAAUGAUGCGGACUAGCUCCAUGAUCUGAGGAUUAUCCUCAUUGCUGCACAGAAGAAUUAUGACCUUGAUGCACCGCUAGGUGAUGACCUAUUGCAGGAGCAUAUGCACACGUUAUGAACGUUUGGCAAAUCUCGGUAUGAUGACUACUUGAUAGUUUAGUGCACCAUGCUUUACGGCUUAUAACCGGGACUUCAAAAAUGGUUUGAACGCCACGGAGCAUGUAAGAUGUUCCAAGAGUUGAAAUUGGUAUUUCAUACUCAUGCCCGUGUCAAGAGGUAUGAGAUCUCUAACAGUACUUUGCCUAAGGAGAAUAGCUCAACCAGUGAGCAUGUGGCGCAGAUUGUCUGAGUACUACAAUCGCUUGAAUCAAGUUGGAGUUAAUCUUCCAGAUGAGAGAGUGAUUGACAGAAUUCUGUAGUCACUAUCACCAAGUUACUAGAACUUCGUGAUGAACUAUAAUAUGCAAGGGAUAACAGAAACGAUUCCCAAGCUCUUCGUGAUGCUGAAAUCGACGAAGGUAGAAAUCAAGAAAAACAUCAAGUGUUGAUGGUUGACAAGACCACUAGUUUCAAGAAAAGGGCAAAGGGAAGAAGGGGAACUUCAAGAAGAAUAGCAAGCAAGUUGCUGCUCAAGUGAAGAAGCCCAAGUCUGGACCUAAGCCUAAGACUAAGUACUUCUACUGCAAAGGAACUGGUCACGGGAAACGAAACUGCCCCAAGUAUUUGUUGGGUAAGAAGGAUGGCCAAGUGAACAAAAGUAUAUUUGAUAUACAUGUUAUUGAUGUGUACUUUUCUAGUUUUUAUAGCAACCCCUUGGUGUUUGAUACUGGUUCAGUUGCUAAGAGUAGUAACUCGAAACGGGAGUUGCAAAAUAAACAGAGACUAGUUAAGGGUGAAGUGAUGAUGUGUGUUGGAAGUGGUUCCAAGAUUGACGUGAUCAUCAUCGCACACUCCCUAUACUUUCGAGAUUAGUGUUGAACCUAAAUAAGUGUUAUUUGGUGUUUGUGUUGAGCAUGAAUAUGAUUUGAUCAUGUUUAUUGCAAUACAGUUAUUCAUUUAAAGUCAGAGAAUAAUUGUUGUUCCGUUUACAUGAAUAAAACUUUUGAUGCUCAUACACCCAAUGAAAAUAGUUUGUUGGAUCUCGAUCGUAAGUGAUACACAUAUUCAUAAUAUUGAAACCAAAAUAUGCAAAGUUAAUAAUGAUAGUGCAACUUAUUUGUGGCACUGCCAUUUAGGUCAUAUUGGUGUAAAGCGCAUGAAGAAACUCCAUGUUGAUGGGCUUUUGGAAUCACUUGAUUAUGAAUCACUUGAUGCUUGCGAACCAUGCCUCAUGGGCAAGAUGACUAAGACUCCGUUCUCCGGAACAAUUGAGCGAGCAACUGACUUAUUGGAAAUAAUACAUACUGAUGUAUGUGAUCAGAUGAGUGUUGAGGCUCACGGCAGGUAUCGUUAUUUUCUGACCUUCACAGAUGAUUUGAGCAGAUAUGGGUAUAUCUACUUGAUGAAACAUAAGUCUGAAACAUUUGAAAAGUUCAAAGAAUUUCAGAGUGAAGUGGAAAAUCAUCGUAACAAGAAAAUAAAGUUUCUAGGAUUUGAUCGCAGAGACGAAUAUUUUGAAUUAUGAGUUUGGUCUUCAAUUAAAACAAUGUGGAAUAGUUUCACAAAUUAAUGCCACCUAGAACACCACAGAGUAAUGGUGUGUCCGAACAUCAUAACCGUAUUUUAUUAGAUAUCGUUCGAUUUGUGAUGUCUCUUACCGAUUUACCACUAUUGCUUUGGGGUUAUGCAUUAGAGACAGCUGCAUUCACGUUAAAAAGGGCACCAUCUUAAUCCAUUGAGACGACACCGUAUGAACUGUGGUUUAGCAAGAAACCUAAGUUGUCGUUUCUUAAAGUUUGGGGUUGUGAUGCUUAUGUGAAAAAGCUUCAACCUGAUAAGCUCAAACCCAAAUCAGAGAAAUGUGUCUUGAUAGGAUACCCAAAGGAAACUGUUGGGUACACCUUCUAUCACAGAUCUGAAGGCAAGACUUUUGUUGCUAAAUUUGGAUCCUUUCUAGAGAAGGAGUUUCUCUCGAAAGAAGUGAGUGGGAGAAAAGUAGAACUUGAUGAGGUAACUGUACCUGCUCCCUUAUUGGAAAGUAGUUCAUCACAGAAAUCGGUUCCUGUGACACCUACACCAAUUAGUGAGGAAGUUAAUGAUGAUGAUCAUGAAACUUCAGAUCAAGUUGUUACUGAACCUCGUAGAUCAACCAGAGUAAGAUCCGCACCAGAGUGGUAUGGUAAUCCUAUUCUGGAGGUUAUGUUACUAGACCAUGAUGAACCUACGAACUAUGAAGAAGAGAUGGUGAGCCCAGAUUCCGCAAAAUGGCUUGAAGCCAUAAAAUCUGAUAUGGGAUCCAUGUAUGAGAACAAAGUGUAGACUUUGGUUGACUUGCCUGAUGAUCGGCAAGCCAUAGAAAAUAAAUGGAUCUUCAAGAAGAAGACGGAUGAUUAUAUAGUGUUACUAUCUACAAAGCUCGACUUGUUGGAAAAAGGUUUUUGACAAGUUCAAGGUUUUGACUAUGAUGAGUUUAUCUCACUUGUAGUGAUGCUUAAAGUCUGUCUGAACCAUGUUAACAAUUGCCACAUUUUAUGAAAUCUGGCAAAUGGAUAACAAAACUGUAUUCUUUAAUGGAUUUAUUAAAGAAGAGUUGUAUAUGAUGCAACCAGAAUGUUUUGUCAGUGAUCCAUCUAUGGACUGGUGCAAGCAUCUCGGAGUUGGAAUAUACGCUUUGAUAAGUUGAUCAAAGCAUAAAGUUUUAUACAGACUUGCGGUGAAGCCUGUAUUUAAAGAAAGUGAGUGGGACCACUACAACAUUUCUGAUAAGUAUAUGUGAAUGACAUAUUGUUGAUCGAAAAUAAUGUAGAAUUUUAUGUAAAGCAUAAAGGAGUAUUUGAAAGGGGUUUUUUCAAAGAAAGACCUCAGUGAAGCUGCUUACAUAUUGAGCAUCAAGAUCUAUAGAGAUAGAUCAAGAUGCUUGAUAAGUUUUUUCAAUGAAUACAUACCUUGACGAGAUUUUGAAGUAGUUCAAAAUGGAACAGUCAAAGAAGGAGUUCUUGCCUGUGUUGCAAGGUGUGAUGUUGAGUAAAGACUCAAAACCCGACCAUGGCAAAAAAUAGAACGAGAAUGAAAAAGUCAUUCCCUAUGCCUCAGCCAUAGGGAGUACAAUAGUGAUCAUGUUUUUCUUGUAUACCCUGCCAUGAGUUUGGCAAAGGGAGUACAAUAGUGAUCUAGGAGUAGAUCACCGGACAUUGGUCAAAAUUAUCCUUAGAGGAAUAAGGAUAUGUUUCUCGAUUAUGGAGAUGAAGAAAGGUUCGUCGUAAAGGGUUACUUCGAUGCAAAUUUUGACACUGAUCCAGAUGACUCUAAGUCUCAAUCUGGAUACAUAUUGAAAGUGGGAGCAAUUAGCUAGAGUAGCUCAGUGCAGAGCAUUAUUGACAUAGAAAUUUGCAAAAUACAUAUGGAUCUGAAUGUGGCAGACCCGUUGACUAAACUUCUCUCACAAGAAAAACAUGAUCACACCUUAGUACUCUUUGGGUGUUAAUCACAUAGCGAUGUGAGCUAGAUUAUUGACUCUAGUAAACUCUUUGGGUGCUGGUCACAUGACGGUGUGAACGAUGGGUGUUAAUUACAUGGUGAUGUAAACUAUUGAUGUUAAAUCACAUGGCGAUGUGAACUAGAUUAUUGACUCUAGUGCAAGUGGGAGACUGAAGAAAUAUGCCCUAGAGGCAAUAAUAAAGUUAUUAUUUAUUUCCUUAUAUCAUGAUAAAUGUUUAUUAUUCAUGCUAGAAUUGUAUUAACCGGAAACAUGAUACAUGUGUUAAUACAUAGACAAACAGAGUGUCACUAGUAUGCCUCUACUUGACUAGCUCGUUGAUCAAAGAUGGUUAUGUUUCCUAGCCAUAGACAUGAGUUGUCAUUUGAUUAACGGGAUCACAUCAUUAGGAGAAUGAUGUGAUUGACUUGACCCAUUCUGUUACCUUAGCACUUGAUCGUUUAGUAUGUUGCUAUUGCUUUCUUGAUGACUUAUACAUGUUCCUAUAACUAUGAGAUUAUGCAACUCCCGUUUACUGGAGGAACACUUUGUGUGCUACCAAACGUCACAACGUAACUGGGUGAUUAUAAAGGUGCUCUACAGGUGUCUCCGAAGGUACUUGUUGGGUUGGCAUAUUUCGAGAUUAGAAUUUGUCACUCCGAUUAUCAGAGAGGUAUCUCUGGGCCCACUCGGUAAUGCACAUCACUAUAAGCCUUGCCAGCAUUGUAACUAAUGAGUUAGUUGCGGGAUGAUGUAUUACGGAACGAGUAAAGAGACUUGCCGGUAACGAGAUUGAACUAGGUAUUAAGAUACCAACGAUUGAAUCUCGGGCAAGUAACAUACCGAUGACAAAAGGAACAACAUAUGUUGUUAUGCGGUUUGACCGAUAAAGAUCUUCGUAGAAUAUGUGGGAGCCAAUAUGAGCAUCCAGGUUCCGCUAUUGGUUAUUGACCGGAGACGUGUCUCGGUCAUGUCUACAUAGUUCUCGAACCCGUAGGGUCCGCACGCUUAAAGUUCGAUGAAGGUUAUUUUAUGAGUUUAUGUGUUUUGAUGUACCGAAGAUAGUUCGGAGUGCCGGAUGUGUUCAUGGACAUGAGGAGGAGUCUCGAAAUUGUCGAGACAUAAUUAUUGAUAUAUUGGAAGCCUAUAUUUGGAUAUCGGAAGUGUUCCGGGUGAAAUCAGGAUUUUACCGGAGUACCGGAGGGUUACCGGAACCCCCCGGGGGCUUAAUGGGCCUACAUGGGCCUUAGUGGAAAUAGAGGCAGCAAGGGGAGUGUGGAGCGCGCGCCCCAAGGCCCAAACCGAAUUAGUUUAGGGCAAGGGGGGCCGGCCCCCUCUUUCCUUCCCCUCCUCUCCCUUUCCUUCCCCCUCUCCUACUCCUACUAGGAAUAGGAGGAGUCCUACUCCUAGUGGGAGUAGGACCCCCCCUUGGCGCGCCUCUCCCUGGCCGGCCGCCUCCUCCCCUUUCUCCUUUAUAUACGGGGGCAGGGGGCACCCCAUAGACACAACAAUUGAUCAUUGAUCUCUUAGCCGUGUGCGGUGCCCCCCUCCACCAUAAUCCACCUUGAUAAUAUCGUAGCGAUGCUUAGGCGAAUCCCUGCGUCGGUAGAACAUCAUCAUCGUCACCACUCCGUCGUCCUGACGACUCUCCCUCAACACUCGGCUGGAUCGGAGUUCGAGGUACGUCAUCGAGCUGAACGUGUGCUGAACUCGGAGGUGCCGUGCGUUUGGUACUUGGAUCGAUCGGAUCGUGAAGACGUACGACUACAUCAACCGUGUUGUCAUAACGCUUCCGCUUACGGUCUACGAGGGUACGUGGACAUACUCUCCCCGCUCGUUGCUAUGCAUCACCAUGAUCUUGCGUGUGCGUAGGAAUUUUUUUGAAAUUACUAUGUUCCCCAACAUGCUCUUGGCAGAUAAUGGUGGUUCUGCCUGCUUCCUUGUAUCACGGCUGGAGGUAACAACUGAUGGAGGUGUCGGUGCAGUAGAAUGUGUGGAAGUACAGGAUGCACACGGUGUCCAUGAUGAAGGUCGACCUGCAAAAAAGUUAGUUCGCGCCAAUGCCUGUCGAUCCUGCACUUCACAUUCAGCUUUACAAGCAAGAUGGAAUAAAUGAGUGAUAUUAUUAUAAUCCUUAUACUCUAGAAUGGUCUGAAUCUCUCUAUUUAAUCCACCCAUAAAACGUGCAAGCAUAGCUUCAUUCUCCUCAAGAAUACCACAUCUAAUCAAGCCAGUUUGUAAUUCCUGAUAAUAUUCUUCUACAGAAUAUUUUUCUUUGUCUUAAGCGCUGCAAUUUUUCAAGUAAUUCACGUUGAUAAUAUGGUGGAACCCAACGAGUACGUAUAGCAGUUUUCAAAGCAGCCCAAGUAGCUUGAACAUGAUAUAAUCUACAAUGUUCAGACCACCAAACACAUGCAAAGCUAGUGAAAGCACAAACAACAGCAGGAACACGUCCCUCCUCAGGAUAUUGUAAACAUGUAAAUCGUUGUUCAGUUUCUAACUCCCAAGUAAGAUAUAUAUCAGGAACAUAUCUACCCUCAAAUGGUGGAAUAUUCAAUUUCUGUUUAGGGAGAUGGUCAUGAUCUUGUACCUGAGGUGGUGGUGCAGGCCUACCGUUGCGAAUAUAUACCUGAGGUCGACCUGCUGGUGGUGGUGCUGGUGGCUGCACGUAGUUCUGAUUUUGAUCAACCUCAUCCUCGUAAUAGUCCUCCACCUCUGCAGUAGCAGCAGGAGCUACAGAAACACCAACAACAGUAUCAGCGGCACCAGAAUUUUGUCCUGGCUCGCCCUACUGUAUCGCGGCGUAGAGUUGGUUGUGGGAGACGAUUGAGUAAUUCAUCAAACUUGGCGUCCAACUUGGUGUCAAUUGUCUUCCCAAUGUCAUCCAUCUUCUCCAUUGCCUUUCCAAAGCUGGCCAUCACGUCUUCCACCUAUUGACCCAACAUUUGAUGAAACUUAUCAUGAAGCUCCUUGUUCGUCAUGUUCUCCCAGUCAAUCUCAUCGGCUUGUGGUCCUGCCAUAGUUAGCAGCAAUAGAAACAGACAAGAAUAUGAUCCUACAUACUACUGGAAAAUGGUGGUGGUGGGGUGUCACAAAUCCGUCAAGCGAAUCUCAAAUUCUUACCCGUUCUUACCAAGCAGCUGGUAGUGAUCAGCAACCGUUGUAGUCAAAACUCUCAAAAGCUUGGAUAGAGCGAGUACCAGGGAGAGUCAAACGCACGACGCAGAUGUAUGUGGAGAUGGGAAGGCUUAUAAUAUGGUAGCAAAAAGGAUCAGCAAUAAUCAGUUUAGAGAUGCAAAGUUGAAUAAAUGCUCAACGACGAUACUGUGCUGGUCCUAGGCUAGACCUUGCUAGAGAUGCGAGCCUACAACACUAACAAAAUCACGGCGUUGCACGUAAACAAGGGAAAAGCACACUCUUGAAAAAAUCGCUUUUUUCUUCUUUUUUUUGAGCUAUUUUUUUGCGCUCUUUUUUUUAACGAAAAAUCACUAUAAUGGCGAGUGUCUCAAAACUCUUCCCAGGUCAAACUGACAGGAUGUGUACGAAAUUUUUUUGACCAUUUUUUUUCGGAAAUCAGGGCAGCGACGACGAAAAAGUGUGACAAAAAAUUACUAUGAUGGCGAGUGUCUCAAAACACUCCCUGGGACCUAAAAAUAGGAUAGGGAAAAAAUAUUUUCGGUCGCCGAAAUUUUGGCCUAAAAACUGGUCGAUUUUUUUUCUGAAACCUACUCAGGCAAGGAAACACGAAUCGGAAAUUAGAUGGAUCUCGAAAACAAACCUAAUACGAAAAGAACUCGGAUUGGUGGUGGAUAUAUGAUGGUAGGAUAUGGCAGCGGUGGUGGUAUACGGAUAUGGAUCGGUGGUAUAUGGCAGCGUUGGUGGGAUAUGGGAGCGGUGGUGGUAUAUGGCAGCGUUGGUGGGAUAUGGCAGCGGUGGUGGUAUAUGGCAGCGUUGGUGGGAUAUGGCAGCGGUGGUGGUAUAUGGCAACAGCGGUGAAGAUGGUGCGGCGGCGGUGUGACAAACUAUGACAGAACUCGAAACUCUUAAGGACUAACGCUAAGACCAGCAACUAGACACGACGAUGCAACCGCAAAUUCAACAAAGCAAAACCCUAAAAAGAUUAUGCAAAGGCUCAGAUUGGUUCAGAUAUGAUGAACUAACCCUAAAUUUUUUUGUGGCUUUUUUUUGUGGACUGUAGGUAUGAAGAACAUACUCGAUCUAAACUAUGAAAAACUGUAAUAUCUCACCGAGCAACCUGGAAAUCUGAUACCACUUGAUAGAGGCAAAGGUGUCCCGACUUUCGAUGAGAUGAUGGAUAUCGCUUUGGUGGAAGUUGACUUUGACGAUCCGACUACGAACGUGCGAGGACGUCGCGCCUUAGCAAUCGCUAAACCAACUCCGAGAGGUUAUUGACCACGUCGGAGCACGAUCAACCUGACCACGAGGGUCUGUUUCCUGCGAGCAAACGAAGAACAAGCAAGAAACUGAGAUUGCAAUCUGGAUAUUGCGAAUAUAAGAUGAAAGCUUUCUUAAUCAAGGUGAGGUUCUGUGACGCCUUUGUCUGGUCGUUGAACACAAACGGAGUACGCGAAGUUGCAGCUAUGGCGAACUUUUAAUCUAAACAAAACCCAAAGUCUAAACGACGCCCUAAGGGCUGUAUAUAUGGAGGAAGAGGGGGAAAUUUCGUGGCCCUUGAGGGAGGGGUCCGAAACCAACCCUAACUCUUGUUUCCCCACACAUACGGACUCUAAAAACAGCCUAUACUUAAGUAUUUCGAAAUUACAUGGGCCUGGCCCAAUAAUAA
rnacentral:lncRNA from 1 species